UACGGGGGGGGCAAGCGUUGUUCGGAAUUACUGGGCGUAAAGCGCACGUAGGCGGCUUUGUAAGUUAGAGGUGAAAGCCCAGGGCUCAACCCUGGAAUUGCCUUUAAGACUGCAUCGCUUGAACAUCGGAGAGGUAAGUGGAAUUCCGAGUGUAGAGGUGAAAUUCGUAGAUAUUCGGAAGAACACCAGUGGCGAAGGCGGCUCACUGGACCGGCAUUGACGCUGAGGUGCGAAAGCCAGGGGAGCAAACGGG
rnacentral:rRNA from 1 species